rnacentral:lncRNA from 1 species
CAAUAAAUGACUGUUGAGGGAGCAAAAGUCAUGACUUCUCUCACCUGUCAUUUGAGAAUCUCAGCUCCAGGCUCAACAAGUUGUUUUGUUAUGCCAAUUAAGUCUCAAGCUCAUUAGUACUCUACAUGUUACAAAAGGGUAUUUUAACCAAGACAGAUAUUUGCACAGCCUCCUCACUUCCUGGGGAGCAUUCUUUCACAGAGAUGCAGAGUCAACAUGAUCAAGCACAGGCAAUAGAACAUAUCGGCUGGAGCUGAAGGAUAGACCCAACAUGAGGCCAGAGGAGGAGUAUCCAGAGCAUGUGCUGGGUUCCUUGCUACCUUAUAGAGAACAUGCCUUCCUUGGAAAGUAGAAGCACAUUCCUGUACAAAUCCUUCUUGUAAGUUAAAUUAGGAAAAGGAAAGAGGAUGCCCUUUGAAGUAUUUUACAACAUACUUGUCACUGAUUUUUCCCUCCUCUGUGACAUGAACUAGCAGCAUGCCAUAUGAAUUUAAGUAGGAC